AACGCUGGCGGCGUGCCUAAUACAUGCAAGUCGAACGGUCUUUCUAUGGAAGCUUGCUUCCACUGAGAAGAUAGUGGCGAACGGGUGAGUAACACGUGGGUAACCUGCCCAUAAGAGGGGGAUAACAUCCGGAAACGGGUGCUAAUACCGCAUAGUUUUCUUGAUGCAUGAUUGAGAAAGGAAAGACGGCCUUUGUGCUGUCGCUUAUGGAUGGACCCGCGGCGUAUUAGUUAGUUGGUGAGGUAACGGCUCACCAAGACGAUGAUACGUAGCCGACCUGAGAGGGUGAUCGGCCACAUUGGGACUGAGACACGGCCCAAACUCCUACGGGAGGCAGCAGUAGGGAAUCUUCCGCAAUGGACGAAAGUCUGACGGAGCAACGCCGCGUGAGUGAAGAAAGGUUUUCGGAUCGUAAAACUCUGUUGUCAGAGAAGAACAAGUUGGAGAGUAACUGCUCCAGCCUUGACGGUAUCUGACCAGAAAGCCACGGCUAACUACGUGCCAGCAGCCGC
rnacentral:rRNA from 1 species